rnacentral:rRNA from 1 species
CUACGGGAGGCAGCAGUGGGGAAUCUUGCGCAAUGCGCGAAAGCGUGACGCAGCAACGCCGCGUGAGGGAAGACGGCCUUCGGGUUGUAAACCUCUUUCAGUUGGGACGAAGCCUCUGCGGUUAAUACCCGUAUGAGGUGACGGUACCUUCACAAGAAGCUCCGGCUAACUACGUGCCAGCAGCCGCGGUAAUACGUAGGGGGCAAGCGUUGUCCGGAAUCAUUGGGCGUAAAGCGCGUGUAGGCGGCUAGGUAAGUCUGCUCUGAAAGCCUGGGGCUCAACCCCAGGAGGCGGGUGGAUACUGUCUAGCUUGAGUUCGGAAGAGGCCAGUGGAAUUCCCGGUGUAGCGGUGGAAUGCGCAGAUAUCGGGAGGAACACCAAUCGCGAAGGCAGCUGGCUGGGACGUAACUGACGCUGAGACGCGAAAGCGUGGGGAGCAAACAGGAUUAGAAACCCGAGUAGUCC